rnacentral:rRNA from 1 species
AGUCGAACGAAGCUGCAUCGAACGAAUUCUUCGGAAGAGAUUGGUACAGCUUAGUGGCGGACGGGUGAGUAACGCGUGAGUAACCUGCCUUUCAGAGGGGGAUAACGUUUGGAAACGAACGCUAAUACCGCAUAACAUAUUAAAUUCGCAUGGAUUUGAUAUCAAAGGAGCAAUCCGCUGAAAGAUGGACUCGCGUCCAAUUAGCUAGUUGGUGAGGUAACGGCCCACCAAGGCGACGAUUGGUAGCCGGACUGAGAGGUUGAACGGCCACAUUGGGACUGAGACACGGCCCAGACUCCUACGGGAGGCAGCAGUGGGGAAUAUUGCACAAUGGGGGAAACCCUGAUGCAGCGACGCCGAGUGAGGGAAGAAGGUUUUCGGAUUGUAAACCUCUGUCCUUGGUGAAGAUAAUGACGGUAGCCAAGGAGGAAGCUACGGCUAACUACGUGCCAGCAGCCGCGGUAAUACGUAGGUAGCGAGCGUUGUCCGGAAUUACUGGGUGUAAAGGGAGCGUAGGCGGGAUUGCAAGUUGAAUGUCAAAUCUACGGGCUUAACCCGUAGCCGCGUUCAAAACUGCAGUUCUUGAGUGAAGUAGAGGCAGGCGGAAUUCCUAGUGUAGCGGUGAAAUGCGUAAAUAUUAGGAGGAACACCAGUGGCGAAGGCGGCCUGCUGGGCUU